AACGAACGCUGGCGGCAUGCCUAACACAUGCAAGUCGAACGAGACCUUCGGGUCUAGUGGCGCACGGGUGCGUAACGCGUGGGAACCUUCCCUUAGGUUCGGACUAACUCCCCGAAAGGGGUGCUAAUACCGGAUAAUGUCUUCUGACCAAAGAUUUAUCGCCUUUGGAUGGGCCCGCGUUGGAGUAGCUAGUUGGUAAGGUAAAAGCCUACCAAGGCGACGAUGCAUAGCUGGUCUGAGAGGGUGAUCAGCCACACUGGGACUGAGACACGGCCCAGACACCGACGGGAGGCAGCAGUAGGGAAUCUUCCGCAAGGGGCGAAAGCCUGACGGUGCAACGCCGCGUGAGUGAUGAAGGUCUUCGGAUCGUAAAGCGCUGUUAUUAGGGAAGAACAAAUGUGUAAGUAACUAUGCACGUCUUGACGGUACCGAAUCAGAAAGCCACGGCUAACUACGUG
rnacentral:rRNA from 1 species